AGUGCCAAAGCCUUCCCCUGGAGACAGGAAUGUGGAGGAACUGUCACAGCUCUCAGCAUGCUGAUGCUCACUCACUGCAGCCUGAGAUUGCAGUGUAAUCGAGUGGUGCUAACCAGUUGCAGACGGGGCUCCCUGUGCAAGGCCUCAGAGUGGGCCCCCUUCACCUUGGCUCAGGAAGCCCCACAGACCACCGCCACAAUCUCACACUUCGCUCUGCUGAAGGCAGGGUUUCGACAAAGUCCCACAGGGCCGGCUGGUGAAGAAAGGGCGAGUGGGCAAACUGGAUCGGAAUUUGUAACAGUGGUGCAGCGGUAGAGGUGCUGCCUUAACAGCGCCAGAGACCCGGGUUCUGUCUGUAUGGAGUUUGCAUGUUCUCCUCGUGACUGCGUGGGUUUUCUGCGGGUGUUCCGCUUUCCUCCCACAUUCCAAAGAUGUACAGAAUGGACGGGUAACAUGUUCUCCUCUGAACACUCACAAUUCCACAUUGAUUUCCCUACAUUGGGUAAGUUCAUAAGUUCUAGGAGCAGAAUUAGCCAUUCGGCCCAUCAGGUCUACUCCACCAUUCAAUCACGGCUGAUCUAUCUUUCCCUCUCAAACCCAUUCUCCUGCCUUCUCUCCAUAACCCCCGACACCUGUACUUAAUCACGAACCUGUCUAUCUCCGCCUUAAAAAUAUCCAUUGAUGGCCUCCACAGCCGUCUGUGGCAAUGAAUUCCACAGAUUCACUAUCCUCUGACUAAAGAAACCUCCUCAAUUCCUUUGUAAAGGUACGUCCUUUUAUUCUGAGGCUAUGGCCCCUGAUCUUGGACUCUUCCACUCGAAACAUUCUCUCCACAUCCAGGCCUUUCACUAUUCGGUAAGUUUCAAUGAGGUCCCCAUUCCCCUCAUCCUUCUAAACUCCAGCGAGUACAGGCCCAGUGCAGCAAAAGGCUGUGCAUUCAUCCUAUCUAUUUCCCUCAUGAUGUUGAGCUGGGUGGGUGCCAGCCAGCAAUGAAUGGAAGGGGCACCAGCUUGGCUUCCUGCUCAUGGAGAACGUUUUUCAGAAUCCGCUGCUCUUUCAGGCAGUCGUUCUUCAUUCUUCAUCCCAUUAUUUUGUUGCAGUAAGUUCGGUUUUUAUUGAUUUGUAAAAACCACACACGACAACAUGGCGUAAGGAGCAGCUGCCGUUAUGUAAGACAAUACCGAGGCCAAAUCUCACUCACAUUCCACACCACACAAUCACUGCCAUUCUGUUACGCAAGUGAGCGCAGAGAGGAAGGUUGCUCAUAUGAAAUAUAAUCUGCUGCCUGUCACUGGAGAAGCAUUUCUCUCAAGCUGUGAUCCAGCAAAAUGCUAAAAACUGUCUUGUUUGUUUAAGUUUACGUUCAGGUUUAUUAUUGUCCCAUAUACCAAGGUACAGUGCAACGCUUUGUUUUGCAUGCUAUCCAAACUGAUCAGAUAUACCCCACAUCCAUGCAUUCAAGUCAAACUCAAGUACAACAGAUAGAGCAAAAGGGAAGAUACAGAGUGCAGAAUAUAGUUCUCAGCAUUGGAGCAUAUCAGUUCCAUAGACAAUCUUGUUAAAUAUUUAGCAGUUAGAUA